rnacentral:rRNA from 1 species
GACGAACGCUGGCGGCGUGCUUAACACAUGCAAGUCGAACGGUAAGGCCCUUCGGGGUACACGAGUGGCGAACGGGUGAGUAACACGUGGGUGAUCUGCCCUGCACUUCGGGAUAAGCCUGGGAAACUGGGUCUAAUACCGGAUAGGACCACUGCCUGCAUGGGUGGUGGUAGAAAGCUUUUGCGGUGUGGGAUGGGCACGCGGCCUAUCAGCUUGUUGGUGGGGUGAUGGCCUACCAAGGCGACGACGGGUAGCCGGCCUGAGAGGGUGACCGGCCACACUGGGACUGAGAUACGGCCCAGACUCCUACGGGAGGCAGCAGUGGGGAAUAUUGCACAAUGGGCGCAAGCCUGAUGCAGCGACGCCGCGUGAGGGAUGACGGCCUUCGGGUUGUAAACCUCUUUCAGCACCGACGAAGCGCAAGUGACGGUAGGUGCAGAAGAAGGACCGGCCAACUACGUGCCAGCAGCCGCGGUAA